rnacentral:lncRNA from 1 species
AAACCCACUGUACAGCAUGCUUGAGCCCCCUCAGGACUAGGGCUCACCUAGGGAGCAGGGGCAUGCCCUAGAAUCAGGGGUUGGCACUGGCUUACCUCCCAGUUCUCCACCUCUGGGUCUCAGAGGCUUGGAGAGAGCCCAGCCCUGGACAGUCUAUCUGAGGAAGAGGCUUGGAACUCUGUUUAAGGAAGAGCAGGACAAGUUUUCUUUCCAUGGUUUGAGAUGAGAGACAGGUUGAGAACAGCCAGGGUUGUUCACACUGAUGGAAACGAUGGACCUUCCUUCGCCCCGAUGGAGUUACAGAAGAAAAAUCACGUCAAGGGAGGGGAAGAAGGAGAAACGCU